GUUAAGGCAAGGAUUGGUUUGGCCGAUAUCGUGACCGGAGAUUGGGCGGCAAGGAACAAUGUCAGGGAUUGGUGGACCGAGCUUACCCUCAUGCACUCGCCGAAUAGAAAAGGAGUGGCCUCCCUACUUAUGCUGAUUUCUUGGGAACUUUGGAAGGAGAGGAAUGCUAGUAUCUUUCAAAACGUCUCUACGCCUUCGAUAAUAAUCGUGGACAAGAUUUUGGAUGAAGCCAGAUUAUGGGUGUUGGCAGGUGCCAAAGGACUUGGUGUAAUUUUACCACACGAGUAG
rnacentral:rRNA from 1 species